AAACAUAGCUUCUAGGGUUCCGACUCAAAUAAUUGAUCAUUAUCGAGUGACUGGUCCAAGAGAAGCAGGCUACAUCAGAAAUUUUCAAUUUUACUCAAUUACUAAUAAUUUAGUAGCCACACGGCGGGAUAAAAGCCCGGGAGGA
rnacentral:sRNA from 2 species